AGUAAUGAAUGUUUACUUUUUAAAUAAUAAUAACGAAUUACUUUUAAAAAGUAACUUUUCCAUUCUUGCAUAAUGGUUGCAUAUUUUUAAUUGAAAUGAAAUGCAUGUAUACGCGGCCGCAAAACGGCCAGGCAUGACAUCCAUAUAAGUAAAGCGUAACGUCGGGCAAUUACAUUUUUGCGAUGGUAAACCGCGAGUCGCAAAAUACAAAGAGAUCUAUUCUGGCGAGGGCAUAGGCGGGGUAGAAUUUUGACGCGACGCAAUUUCUAGGAUGAUAGAAUAUGCCGCCGGUCGUGAAGCGGGAUCGUAUCUCUCUCUCUCUGGUCGUUCGUUCGUUCGUUCGUUCGUUCGUUCGUUCGUUCGUUCGUUCGUUCGUUCGUUCGUUCGUUCGUUCGUUCGUUCGUUCGUUCGUUCGUUCGUUCGUUCGGUCGGAUGGGUACCGGAGGUGGCAUCGUAGUAGUAAUAGUAGUAGUACCACGACGGAUGGUGCGGUUGUUUGCGAGUCGCCGGUGCCUGUUCGACGGCGGCGGUGCUUGUGCCACUUUCACUUGGUUACAUAACCAAGAGAGAGGAACAAUGUGACUCAAUGUCCUCGCCGCGCGAAUUGCCGAGUACAAGCUAAUCGCAUAAGACCGAGAAAAUGGAACGACUGCUAUUUGCUGACGAGUAGCAGGGCUAAGGAAAAAAAAAGUGGCACGGCCAUUCUACAGGCUGGUGAACUGACGUACACAGGAACAAAGCGGCGAGCCUCGUGCCAUCGUCGUGACUUGACGUAAACGAAGGAAGAUCUUGCACCAAGGAUGAGACUUUUGUCCUCGUACAUGGAAUUCAGGAAGGAAUAGACCUAAUAAAAAUUGCUGGAAAUAUUUAUGAACGACUAUAUUAAAAUAUAUUUCACGUUCGCUCGUAUAUGGCGAUGGUGAUUAAUGAAAUAUAAUUAUAUAAAAUAAAAA